rnacentral:rRNA from 1 species
GACGAACGCUGGCGGCAUGCCUAAUACAUGCAAGUCGAGCGAACAGAUGAAGUGCUUGCACUUCUGACGUUAGCGGCGAACGGGUGAGUAACACGUAAGGAAUCUACCUAUAAGCGGGGGAUAACAUUCGGAAACGGGUGCUAAUACCGCAUAAUAUCUUCUUCCGCAUGGAAGAAGAUUGAAAGACGGCUCUGCUGUCACUUAUAGAUGACCUUGCGGUGCAUUAGUUAGUUGGUGGGGUAAUGGCCUACCAAGACGAGGAUGCAUAUCCGGCCUGAGAGGGUGAUCGGCCACAUUGGGACUGAGACACGGCCCAAACUCCUACGGGAGGCAGCAGUAGGGAAUCUUCCGCAAUGGGCGAAAGCCUGACGAAGCAAUGCCGCGUGAGUGAAGAAGGCCUUCGGGUCGUAAAACUCUGUUAUAAGAGAAGAACAAAUUGUAGAGUAACUGCUACAGUCUUGACGGUAUCUUAUCAGAAAGCCAUGGCUAACUACGUGCCAGCAGCCGCCGUAA